rnacentral:sRNA from 1 species
GGUGAACCUGCGGAAGGAUCAUUACCGAUGUGAAAAAUCCAAGGUUAAACAUCAUUAACCAGUGUGAACUGUACAACAACUCUUUAGGGGUCGGCACAGGCGUGUGUCGUUAAAUGGCGGAUAGGUUCCUUCCGCCAGCCCCGCCAUUGUGUUUAUUAUAUCACUUUGAACGUUAAAGACUGAGAACUAUGUAUCAUGCAUUGAAUGUAUGAGAAAGAAGGGAAGAAAAAUGAGAGACAACUUUUGAUGGUGGAUCUCUUGGCUCACGUAUCGAUGAAGAACGCAGCCAGCUGCGAUAUGUAGUGUGAAUUGCAGAAUUCAGUGAAUCAUUGAAUCUUUGAACGCAAAUGGCGCUCUUGGGUUCUCCCAGGAGCAUGUCUGUCUGAGUGUCGGAUUUUAUCGAACGCACUCGUGAGUGCGGUAUUGAGGUGUCACGGCGUGUUAGCAAGCAAGCAUUAAAUCGCCGUGUCCCUUGAAGGACAGCAGCAUUGGACUCGCAUUCUCUACUGAAACUUGAGUGCGAAGGCUAAGGAUAAUAUUUUCCUUCGCCCAAACAUGCAAUAGCAGAAACAAAAUCCAAUCAAAGCGGUGACAGACAAUAAACAUCAAAUCUUGACCUCAGAUCAGGCAAGGCUACCCGCUGA